GUUGGUGGGGUAAUGGCUCACCAAGGCAACGAUCAAUAGCUGGUUCUGAGAGGAUGAUCAGCCACACUGGGACUGAGACACGGCCCAGACUCCUACGGGAGGCAGCAGUGGGGAAUAUUGGACAAUGGGCGCAAGCCUGAUCCAGCCAUGCCGCGUGAGUGAUGAAGGCCCUAGGGUUGUAAAGCUCUUUCAACGGUGAAGAUAAUGACGGUAACCGUAGAAGAAGCCCCGGCUAACUUCGUGCCAGCAGCCGCGGUAAUACGAAGGGGGCUAGCGUUGUUCGGAAUAACUGGGCGUAAAGCGCACGUAGGCGGAUUGGAAAGUUAGAGGUGAAAUCCCUGGGCUCAACCCAGGAACUGCCUUUAAAACUAUCAGUCUAGAGUUCGAGAGAGGUGAGUGGAAUUCCGAGUGUAGAGGUGAAAUUCGUAGAUAUUCGGAGGAACACCAGUGGCGAAGGCGGCUCACUGGCUCGACACUGACGCUGAGGUGCGAAAGUGUGGGGAGCAAACAGGAUUA
rnacentral:rRNA from 1 species